rnacentral:rRNA from 1 species
GUAGGUGGCAAGCGUUGUCCGGAAUUAUUGGGCGUAAAGCGCGCGCAGGCGGUCCUUUAAGUCUGAUGUGAAAGCCCACGGCUCAACCGUGGAGGGUCAUUGGAAACUGGGGACUUGAGUACAGAAGAGGAAAGCGGAAUUCCAAGUGUAGCGGUGAAAUGCGUAGAGAUUUGGAGGAACACCAGUGGCGAAGGCGGCUUUCUGGUCUGUAACUGACGCUGAGGCGCGAAAGCGUGGGGAGCAAACAGGGAUUAGAUACCCUGGUAGUCCACGCCGUAAACGAUGAGUGCUAAGUGUUAGGGGGUUUCCCGCCCCUUAGCGCUGCAGCUAACGCAUUAAGCACUCCGCCUGGGGAGUACGCCGCAAGGCUG